UACGUAGGGUGCGAGCGUUGUCCGGAAUUAUUGGGCGUAAAGAGCUCGUAGGCGGUCUGUCGCGUCUGCUGUGAAAACCCGAGGCUCAACCUCGGGCCUGCAGUGGGUACGGGCAGACUAGAGUGCGGUAGGGGAGAAUGGAACUCCUGGUGUAGCGGUGGAAUGCGCAGAUAUCAGGAAGAACACCGAUGGCGAAGGCAGAUCUCUGGGCCGUAACUGACGCUGGAGGAGCGAAAGCGUGGGGAGCGAACAGG
rnacentral:rRNA from 1 species